UCCUACUCCACACACUUAUGUGGAUAGUUGUGUGUAGAACUCACAGUUCAGUUAUUAUACAUCAGUUUUUAGCAAAGUGUGAAGUCUUCAGACACGAUACAUAUUGAAUGUCUGUUGAAAUUUCGCUCGUGUAAAGAUAAAAAAAGACCAAGUCUUAAAGCAGUUAUCAUUUUGACGAAUAAUGAUCAUCACGAUAUUAUUAACAUGCCUUUUUCUCGUGAUCACGUAUCUUUGUGUCGCGCACUUUGGAAGAAAUGGACGACUUAUUGAUCAAAUACCAGGAUCUAUAUGUUUUCCUACUCCAUAUGUUAUACGAAUUUGUUCAUAUUCGCCAGAACAACUAUGGCUCUUAGCACUCGAUUACGCGAAGAGAUUUUAUCCAAUUAGUAAAUUUUGGAUUUUAACGAUUCCUAACGUUUUGAUUUAUCACCCGGACGACGUGCAGAAAGUACUAAGCGGUAUGGAGCAUACUGUGAAAGGUUACGAGUACAAACUUCUUCAUCCUUGGUUAGGUGAUGGCCUUGUUAUUAGUCAAGGAGCCAAGUGGCAUAAAAGACGAAAGAUACUAACGCCUGCAUUUCACUUUUCUGUAUUGAAAGAAUUUGUCAAAACUUUUAUUGAAGAGGGUAAUCGCGUAGUGAAGUCUUUUAAUCCUGCAGAAGAGUCAAUUAUCGAAGACGUGAUGUUAUUUACCAGUCAUCAUACAUUAAAUGCAAUAUGUGAAACGUCUAUGGGCAUUUUUUUGAAUGACUCUGAUCAGUCUCAACAAUAUCGGCAGACUAUUCACCAUAUGGGUAAAUUUAUAAUCGAAAGAUUGGUCAAACCAUGGCUUUUCAAUGAUACGAUAUUUAACUUAACAUCACUGAGUACUAUACAAUCAAAGUAUUUGAAUAUCUUGCAUUCAUUUACUGAGAAAAUUAUUGCGAAUAGAAAACGUUAUCAUGAAGAAACCGGAGGUCGAUAUUUGAAGUACUUUGAAAAUAACACAGAAACAGAAAAUGAAGAAGUGAUAGGGAUGAAAGAGAAACGAAUGGCCAUGUUGGACAUUUUGCUAGCAGAAUCUCGCAACGGUAAUUUGACUGAUUCAGAUAUCAGAGAAGAAAUUGACACUUUCGUGUUCGAGGGUCAUGACACUGUGGCGACAAGUUUAUGUUUUAGUCUACUAUUAUUAGCUGAGCAUAAGGAUAUUCAGGAUCGUGUAAGAAAGGAAAUUAAUGAGGUAAUGCAGGAAAAUAAUAGGAAGCUUACGAUGAAUGCGUUACAGAAUCUACCAUAUUUGGAGAGAUGCUUGAAAGAAUCAUUAAGACUGUAUCCUAGCGUUCCUGUAAUAUCGCGCAUUUGCACCACUGAUUUAAAAUUACAAUCAUAUACAAUACCAAAAGGCACAACGAUGCAUCUUUUUAUCUAUGCUCUUCAUCACGAUCCCAACUUUUGGCCGAAUCCGAAGGUAUUUGAUCCAGACAGAUUUUUACCAGAGAAUAUACAGAAACGUCAUCCUUAUUCCUAUCUACCGUUCAGUGCAGGAUUACGAAAUUGUAUAGGUCAACGAUUUGCCAUGUUGGAGUUGAAAGCUAUGAUAGCUAGCCUGGUGUACAAUUUUUACUUGGAACCCACUGAUUAUUUGAAGGAUGUUUCAUUCAAGUUGGAUAUUUUAUUACGCACCUCACGUCCGAUCCGCAUGAAAGUUAUUCCAAUUAAACGGGAGUAAUUGUCUAACGCGAGUACUAAUUCGGAGGAAAGAAUAUUUCGCGAACGAAACAUUAUGUUACUCUUAUAAGGUUUGGAAACACCUAACACGGGAUAUCGAAUUUUGAAUUUUUUGAGUGUUUUCUGCUAUAUUGAAAUGUGACGCGUUAUUGGAGCACUGCGUUGGUAGCUAUAUGUGGCGACAGCUUGAAUAAUCUAAUUUGGCAAGUAGCUCCAAAAAUAAUGCACAGCGGAGUCAUUAUUGUUGAAAUUGUGGCACACACAGCUACUUGCAUGUUUAAUAAUAAUGUAACUUCAUUAUUACAAAUAAUGCAUGAAAUGCGUGUAUCUGUUAGGCUGAACGUACAAUAUACUAUACAGGAAGAUGGCCGCCGCACAAACAAAGGUGCGCGACUUGGGAUUACUAAAAAAGCGAGAGCACGUCGUCGCCAGCGAAUGAAAAUGUGAAAGACUCACUAUAUCAUCCGUCAGGAAAGACCUACAUUACGGCCCUGGUAUCGAUGAUUCGAU
rnacentral:misc_RNA from 1 species